rnacentral:rRNA from 1 species
UACGUAGGGUGCAAGCGUUGUCCGGAAUUAUUGGGCGUAAAGAGCUUGUAGGCGGUUUGUCGCGUCUGCUGUGAAAUUUCGGGGCUCAACCCCGAACUUGCAGUGGGUACGGGCAGACUAGAGUGUGGUAGGGGGAGACUGGAAUUCCUGGUGUAGCGGUGAAAUGCGCAGAUAUCAGGAGGAACACCGAUGGCGAAGGCAGGUCUCUGGGCCACUACUGACGCUGAGACGCGAAAGCGUGGGGAGCGAACAGG